AGUCGACGGCAGCGCGGGGCAACCUGGCGGCGAGUGGCGAACGGGUGAGUAAUAUAUCGGAACGUACCCAAGAGUGGGGGAUAACGUAGCGAAAGUUACGCUAAUACCGCAUACGAUCUUAGGAUGAAAGUGGGGGAUCUUCGGACCUCAUGCUCCUGGAGCGGCCGAUAUCUGAUUAGCUAGUUGGUGAGGUAAAGGCUCACCAAGGCGACGAUCAGUAGCUGGUCUGAGAGGACGGCCAGCCACACUGGGACUGAGACACGGCCCAGACUCCUACGGGAGGCAGCAGUGGGGAAUUUUGGACAAUGGGCGCAAGCCUGAUCCAGCAAUGCCGCGUGAGUGAAGAAGGCCUUCGGGUUGUAAAGCUCUUUUGUCAGGGAAGAAACGGCUCCGGCUAAUAUCUGGAGCUAAUGACGGUACCUGAAGAAUAAGCACCGGCUAACUACGUGCCAGCAGCCGCGGUAAUACGUAGGGUGCAAGCGUUAAUCGGAAUUACUGGGCGUAUAGCGUGCGCAGGCGGUUUUGUAAGUCUGACGUGAAAGCCCCGGGCUUUACCUGG
rnacentral:rRNA from 1 species